rnacentral:rRNA from 1 species
GACGAACGCUGGCGGCGUGCCUAAUACAUGCAAGUCGAACGCAGUGGGGACGGGUGAGUAACACGUGGGAAACCUCCCAUCAGAGGGGAAAACACUUGGAAACAGGUGCUAAGCCGAUACUGAUGGAUGGACCCGAGGUGCAGUAGCUAUUUGGGGAGGUAACGGCGCAACAUGGCAACGAUGCAUAGCCUGCCCGCGAGGGUGAUCGUCCACGCUGGACCUUCGAAACGGCCCAGAAUGCUCAGGGAUGCAGCAGUAGGGAAUCUUCGUCACUGGGCGAAAGUCUGACCGAGCAACGCCGCGGGUGUAAAGAAGGUUUGCGGGUCUUAAAACUCUGUUGUUGGAGAGGCGUUAUCUACCCAGAAAGCCACGGCUAACUACGUGCCAGCAGCCGCGGUAAUUC